rnacentral:rRNA from 1 species
UACGAAGGGGGCUAGCGUUGCUCGGAAUUACUGGGCGUAAAGCGCACGUAGGCGGAUUGUUAAGUCGGGGGUGAAAUCCCGAGGCUCAACCUCGGAACUGCCUUUGAUACUGGAGAUCUUGAGUCCGGAAGAGGUAAGUGGAACUGCGAGUGUAGAGGUGAAAUUCGUAGAUAUUCGCAAGAACACCAGUGGCGAAGGCGGCUUACUGGUCCGGAACUGACGCUGAGGUGCGAAAGCGUGGGGAGCGAACAGG